rfam:Bradyrhizobium erythrophlei strain GAS478 genome assembly, contig: Ga0132009_12
UAUCGCUGCCCUCCUUGGGCGUUUCCUCCCUAGACUUGGGCCGCUUGUGGCAACGCAGGCGGCCUUUCUUUUUGUGCGC